CAAAAACUAGUGGAUGGUUCUUAAUUUCCUAUUCUCUUAUCCAAAUCCCUCCUUAAUCAUCUUCCUUAUCCACCUCCUUUCUCAUAUUAAUCAAGUGAAUUGAAUUCAAGCAUAAGAGUUAAUCAAUCUUUCAAAAGAAUAAUGAUAACAAUCAUCCAUAAUCUUCAAGAAGCAAAAAUCUAAAGAGUUAGGGUUGAAAUUUUGGAGUGGUGACCGAUUUUAAGGAAGAAAAAGAAGAGAAAUUGAAGAAUUUAUCAUGUUUAAUUGUUUUUGGAGAUGGUGAAGAAUGUGUUGUGGAAUCUCAUAGCCAUAUAUUGUCAAUUAGCCAAAAAUCAAGGUAAGUGCAUAUGUUGUGCUUAUGGUUGUAAUAUGAAGCCAUAGAUGAUUAACACCUAUGACCCCAUGUAUGUGUUUGGUUUUGUGUAAGACUAACAGAGGUUGAAAUACCUACUAGCAUAUAUUGGUUUGGACAAGACUAGUAGAUGAUGAUAUACCUACUAGCAUACAUUCGUUAUGAGCAAGACUAGUAGAUGAUGAUAUACCUACUAGCAUAUUUUGUGUGUAAGACUGGUAGAUGAAGAGAUACCUAUUAGCAUAUAUUGGUUUAGGGUAAGACUAGUAGAUGGUACAAUAUCUACUAGCAUACAUUGUGUAUUGGGUAAGACUAGUGGAUGAAGAGAUACCUACUAGCAAAUAUUGAUUUAGUGUAAGACUAGUAGAUGAUAUGGUACCUACUAGCAUAUGUCAUUGGUCAAUUAGAAGAAAUGUGAUCAUGAAUGUAAUUAUUGUUAUCUUGAUUGUUAAACAAAUGGCUUAUGAGUUUAUAUGUA